rnacentral:rRNA from 1 species
UACGAGAGGCCCAAACGUUAUUCGGAUUUACUGGGCUUAAAGAGUUCGUAGGCAGUCCGUCAAGUGGGGUGUGAAAGCCCUCGGCUCAACCGAGGAAUUGCGCUCCAAACUGUCGGGCUCGAGGGAGAUAGAGGUGAGCGGAACUGAUGGUGGAGCGGUGAAAUGCGUUGAUAUCAUCAGGAACACCAGAGGCGAAGGCGGCUCACUGGGUCUCUUCUGACGCUGAGGAACGAAAGCUAGGGGAGCAAACGGG